rnacentral:tRNA from 1 species
GGGGCUGUAGCUCAGUUGGGAGAGCGCUUGAAUGGCAUUCAAGAGGUGGUCGGUUCGAUCCCGAUCAGCUCCA